UCCAAAUAACCUCCAAUGAUUGGGCAAGCCUAGCUGAAACAAGGCACCCUGAAGUUAAGACAGUCAAUUUCCCAGAGCCUCAGAAUUAUGAUCCUGUGUGGUAUUUAGCACAAGGCUCUGUGUGGCAGCUGAAUUUUAAGGACCUAUCUCUUUCCUAAUUAAUGACUACUUAAAUGGUUCUGUUUUUCCAAGUUGAAUAUAAAUGGAGGUCCCACCAAGAUUCUAAGUUCCAACUGCCAAAGCCACCUACUUGGCAGAUUCUAGACAUGUGGUGCCCAUGGAAACCCCUUGAGUUCCAGUCCAGACUUAGCUUAGUGGGUUGGCUGGGAUAAUUCUUGGACAGAGGAUGGGGGAUAGAGCAUAUUUGGAAAUGAAUAUGUACUAACAAAAGACAGCAAGAAGAGAUGAGACAAAACGCUUACCCUCUGAUGAAGACUACAAGCAAUCUAGACACUUCAUAAACUACAAAAGGAGAAUGCUUGUUUCAGGCUGACUCAAAAGAAACGAAAAUCCUGCUUAAAGUAACAGUACACCUACCUUUUGCAACUUGUAUGAGGAAGAAUUUUCUUCAGAUACUUCAAACAAAAUAUAUUAGAGACUCAAUGCAAAAGAAGUUAUAAGAACCUAGUUGUCUUCACUUAUGAAGACACAUAAGAGAGCUGCAAAAAUGUAAAAUGAUUUUAUCACUAUUUUUUUGUUUUGAAAAAUUAUUUUUCAUUAAAAUGUUACUCGUUAACAUGUAA